CUCUAAGCCGGCCAGGGCCGCGCUUGUCUUUUCGCCGCACGCGGGUAACGGCCGGACGCUCCCAGGUGCCGCGCGGGGAGGAGAUGUCUUCAUGGUCACAUAACUAGAAUUGGAGAAGGGACAACUUCCUAGCUGGUUGAAGAUAUUCGAAAGUCAGCUUCCAAAGACCACCAAACUUGGAAAUGCCUGUCUACUGGUAUGCAGAUCCUUCAUAAGCCUGUCCUUGUUCCACACUUGGAGUAGACCUCAAGGAGGGGAGCAGAGGAACAUCUAAGUCAAAAAGCCGAUAUGGUGCUGGGAUAGGUUAGGGAGUCCACUGAUCACUCUAGCACCAGGACAUGAGCAUUCUUAAGAGAGUUUGUUACAAGACAGAUAUGCAUCUACUCUUACAAACCUGAACUGCAG
rnacentral:lncRNA from 1 species